UACGUAGGGGGCAAGCGUUGUCCGGAUUUAUUGGGCGUAAAGAGCGUGUAGGCGGUUUGGUAGGUCCGCUGUGAAAACUCGAGGCUCAACCUCGAGACGCCGGUGGAAACCAUCAGGCUAGAGUCCGGAAGAGGAGAGUGGAAUUCCUGGUGUAGCGGUGAAAUGCGCAGAUAUCAGGAAGAACACCCGUGGCGAAGGCGGCUCUCUGGGACGGUACUGACGCUGAGACGCGAAAGCGUGGGGAGCGAACAGG
rnacentral:rRNA from 1 species